rnacentral:rRNA from 1 species
ACCCGCUGAACUUAAGCAUAUCAAUAAGCGGAGGAAAAGAAACCAACAGGGAUUACCUUAGUAACGGCGAGUGAAGCGGUAACUGCUCAAAUUUGAAAGCUGCCAACAGGCCGCGUUGUAAUUUGUAGAAGAUGCUUUGGGUGUCGGCCCAGUCUAAGUUCCUUGGAACAGGACGUCAUAGAGGGUGAGAAUCCCGUAUGUGAUUGGUGCCGUCCCCCGUGUAAAGCUCUUUCGACGAGUCGAGUUGUUUGGGAAUGCAGCUCAAAAUGGGUGGUAAAUUUCAUCUAAAGCUAAAUAUUGGCCAGAGACCGAUAGCGCACAAGUAGAGUGAUCGAAAGAUGAAAAGCACUUUGGAAAGAGAGUUAAACAGUACGUGAAAUUGUUGAAAGGGAAGCGCUUGCAAUCAGACUUGCAGGCGGUUGAUCAUCCGGGGUUCUCCCCGGUGCACUCGAUCGUCUUCAGGCCAGCAUCGGUUUCAGUGGUGGGAUAAAGGCUGUGAGAAUGUGGCUCUUCGGAGUGUUAUAGCUCACGGUGCAAUGCCGCCUACUGGGACCGAGGACCGCGCUUCGGCUAGGAUGCUGGCGUAAUGGUUGUAAGCGACCCGUCUUGAAACACGGACCAAGGAGUCUAACAUCUAUGCGAGUGUUUGGGUGUCAAACCCAUACGCGUAAUGAAAGUGAACGGAGGUGAGACCCCAUUAGGGCGCAUCAUCGACCGAUCCUGAUGUCUUCGGAUGGAUUUGAGUAAGAGCAUAGCUGUUGGGACCCGAAAGAUGGUGAACUAUGCGUGAAUAGGGUGAAGCCAGAGGAAACUCUGGUGGAGGCUCGCAGCGGUUCUGACGUGCAAAUCGAUCGUCAAAUUUGCGUAUAGGGGCGAAAGACUAAUCG